rnacentral:rRNA from 1 species
AACGAACGCUGGCGGCAUGCCUAACACAUGCCAGUCGAACGAGACCUUCGGGUCUAGUGGCGCACGGGUGCGUAACGCGUGGGAACCUGCCCUUAGGUUCGGAAUAACUCCCCGAAAGGGGUGCUAAUACCGGAUAAUGUCUUCGGACCAAAGAUUUAUCGCCUUUGGAUGGGCCCGCGUUGGCUUAGCUAGUUGGUAGGGUACAAGCCUACCAAGGCGACGAUCCAUAGCUGGUCUGAGAGGAUGAUCAGCCACACUGGGACUGAGACACGGCCCAGACACCGACGGGAGACAGCGGUGGGGAGUAUUGGACAAUGGGCGAAGACGUAAUACAGCAAUGCCGCGUGAGUGAUGAAGGGCUUAGGGUUGUAAAUCUCUUUUACCCGAGAGGAGAAUGACAGUAACGGGAAAAUAAGCUCCGGCUAACUCCGUG